CCUACGGGAGGCAGCAGUGAGGAAUAUUGGUCAAUGGGCGCGAGCCUGAACCAGCCAAGUAGCGUGAAGGAUGACUGCCCUACGGGUUGUAAACUUCUUUUAUAAAGGAAUAAAGUGAGGCACGUGUGCCUUUUUGUAUGUACUUUAUGAAUAAGGAUCGGCUCACUCCGUGCCAUCAGCCGCGGUAAUACGGAGGAUCCGAGCGUUGUCCGGAUUUAUUGGGUUUAAAGGGAGCGUAGAUGGGUUGUUAAGUCAGUUGUGAAAGUUUGCGGCUCAACCGUAAAAUUGCAAUUGAUACUGGCAGUCUUGAGUACAGUUGAGGUAGGCAGAAUUCGUGGUGUAGCGGUGAAAUGCUUAGAUAUCACGAAGAACUCCGAUUGCGAAGGCAGCUUACUAAACUGCCACUGACAUUGAUGCUCGAAAGUGUGGGUAUCAAACAGGAUUAGAUACCCUUGUAGUC
rnacentral:rRNA from 1 species